CCGGGUAAUACCGCAUAGGGUAGUUUCUUCGCAUGGGGAGACUAGCAAAGCUUUGGAGCAAUCCAAGGCGCCACAGGGGGGGCUCGCGGCCUAUCAGCUAGUUGGGGGGGUAAUGGCCCACCAAGGCGACGACGGGUAGCUGGUCUGAGAGGAUGGCCAGCCACAUUGGGACUGAGAGACGGCCCAGACUCCUACGGGAGGCAGCAGUGGGGAAUCUUGCGCAAUGGCCGAAAGGCUGACGCAGCGACGCCGCGUGGGGGAGGAAGGCCUUCGGGUUGUAAACCCCUGUUGCCCGGGACGAAUGUGCACUUUAGAGUGCAUUGACGGUACCGGGUGAGGAAGCACCGGCUAACUCCGUGCCAGCAGCCGCGGUAAUACGGAGGGUGCAAGCGUUGUCCGGAAUCACUGGGCGUAAAGGGCGCGUAGGCGGCUCAUAAAGGCUGUGGUGAAAGUUCGGGGCUCAACCUCGAAUCGGCCGUGGCGACUUGUGGGCUGGAGCACUGUAGAGGCAGGUGGAAUUCCGGGUGUAGCGGUGGAAUGCGUAGAGAUCCGGAAGAACACCAGUGGCGAAAGCGGCCUGCUGGGCAGUGGCUGACGCUGAGGCGCGACAGCGUGGGGAGCAAACAGGAUUAGAUACCCUGGUAGUCCACGCCGUAAACGAUGGGCACUAGGUGCUUGGGGGAGCGACCCUCUGAGUGCCGGCGCUAACGCAUUAAGUGCCCCGCCUGGGGAGUACGGCCGCAAGGCUGAAACUCAAAGGAAUUGACGGAAUCGAAUU
rnacentral:rRNA from 1 species